AACGAACGCUGGCGGCGUGCUUAACACAUGCAAGUCGAACGCGAAAGGGACUUCGGUCCUGAGUAAAGUGGCGCACGGGUGAGUAACGCGUAGAUAACCUGUCUUCGUGUCUGGAAUAAUACGCCGAAAGGGGUACUAAUACCGGAUAUUCUUGCUUUAUAUAAGUUUUGCAAGCAAAGGUGGCCUCUGACAUAAGCUACUGCAUGAAGAGGGGUCUGCGUACCAUUAGCUAGUAGGUGGGGUAAUGGCCUACCUAGGCGACGAUGGUUAGCGGGUCGGAGAGGAUGAUCCGGCACAGUGGCACUGGAAACCGGGCCAGACUCCUACGGGAGGCAGCAGUGAGGAAUAUUGCGCAAUGGGGGCAACCCUGACGCAGCGACGCCGCGUGAGUGAGGAAGGCCUUCGGGUCGUAAAGCUCUGUCAAAGGGAAAGAAGUGUGCAAUGGCUAAUACCUGUUGCAUUUGACGGUACCCUUAAAGGAAGCACCGGCUAACUCCGUGCCAGCCGCCGCGGUAAAAC
rnacentral:rRNA from 1 species